ACAGGAAGAACUGAAAAAAAAAAACUUAUCGUAUUUAUUCUAGUCGCUACCCACUAGCCUGUUUUUACAUCUGUUUUUCUCAUUUUUAAUCUGAUUUUUCUGGCUCUCUAGCCGUGGCA
rnacentral:ribozyme from 16 species